CCAGGAGCUGGAGCCGGAGGAGAAACUGGAAGAAGUGAACCUGAGCAGCCUGGACAUCCUUGUAAGCAGAGAUGAAGAGUCCUCAGCUUUCUGCCUUCUCCAUGACUGGCUUACCACGGAGAAAGAAGUGAAGGGUAAGAACCCACCCCUGUUGUGACAUGGAAGGCGCCCAAGAGCCGUGAGACAGUGAGCGUUGUUGAUUCCAGGCUAUGAAGAUGCCAUGAAGCUGGGAGUGGAGCAGAUGUCACCGUCAGUGAGAUAAGGGUCUGGUUUGGUGAGGACUCUGGUAAUGGCCCACCUGCCUCCAGGCCAGGACUUGUCGUUAGCUGGGGCUGAGUUUGUAGGAAAAGGUUUCUGAAUAGCUGUAGUUACGAGGGAGACAAAGUCCCCAUUUUCAGGGGCUGGUCAUUUCUCUGUCCACAAGCAGUGUGUUCUCUCCAGCAGAAGGUUGGAUCCAGGGGGAUGACUCCAGCUGAGGAAUCAUCCAGGAGCAGCAGCCGGAGGAGAAAUUGGCAGAAGUGGACCUGAGCCGCCUGGAAAUCCUCUUAAGUGGAGAUCAACAGUCCUCCGCUUUCUGCCUCCCACAUAACUGCCUGAGAAUUUCCCUAUCUUCUAAGCUGCUGAUCUUCCAGGACAGAGAGGAGCGGGUUCUUCUGAGCAGUGGCCUGCAACCAGGAAGAGGGAUCGUCCAGGAGCCCAGACAGAGAAACUGGAAGAAGUGAACCUGAGCAGCCUGGACAUCCUUGUAAGCAGAGAUGAAGAGUCCUCAGCUUUUUGCCUUCUCCAUGACUGGCUUACCACGGACAGAGAAGUCAAGGGUAAGAGCCCACCCCCGUUUUGAGAUGUAAAGUGCACAAGAGCCGUGAGACAGCGAGCGUUGUUGAUGCCAGGCUAUGCAGAGGCCAUCAAGCUGGGAGUGGAGCAGACGUCACCAUCAUUGAGAUAAGUGUCUGGUUCAGUGAAGACUCUGCUAACGGCCCACCUGCCUCCAGGCUGGGACUUGUCGUUAGCUGGGGCUCGGUUUGUAGGAAAAGAUUCCUGAGUAGCUGUGGUUGCGAGGGAGACAAGUUCCCCAUUUUCAGGGUCUGGUCAUUUCUCUGUUCACAAGCAGUGUGUCCUCUCCAGCAGAACGUUAGAUCCAGGGGGAUGACUCCAGCUGCUGCGCUGGCAGAGGAAUUGUCCAGGAGCCCUACCCGGAGGAGAGACUCUCAGAAGUGGACCUGAUUACCCUGAACAUCCUUCUAAGCAGACAUGAACAGUCCUCAGCUUUCUCCCUCCUGCAUAACUGGCUGUGAGUAAAUGUACCAAGAGAAAAGAAGUCACGCGUCAGAGUCUACUGUCCUCACACAAUGGAAAGCGAGCAAGAGCGACGAGACCACAAGCAUUGUUGAUGCGAUGCAAAAGCCGUCCAUCUUUUCCAGAGGAAUCAUCCAGGAGCCCUAGAUGGGUGAGAAUAUACAGAAGUGGACAUGAGCAGCCUGGACAUUCUUCUAAGGAGACAUGAAUAGUCCUCCGCUUCCUGCCUCCCGCUUAACUGGCUGUGAGUAAGAGUACCAAGGGAAAAUAAGUCACGUGCCAGAAUCUACUGCCCUCAUGCGAUGGAAAGCGAAGGAGAGCGAUGACACUGCGAGUAUUGUUGAUGCCACGCAAAAGCCGUCCAACUGGGAGCGGAACAGCUGCCACUCUCAAUGAGAUAAGUGUCUGUUUUGGUGAUUGCUCUGCUCACGGCCCUCCCUGCUCCUGGUAGGGACGCCACAUUAGCUGGGGCUGGGUUUGUAAGAAAAUGUUCUUGACUAGCUGUAGUUACGAAGGGCACAAGGUCCCCAUUUUCAGAGGCUGCUCAGUUCUCUGGCCAGGAGCGGCGAGUUCUCUGCAGCAGAAGGUUGGAUCCAG